AUGCCAUGUGCAAUGCAGAAUUCCGGAGAAGAGGCACGUCCCCCCGCGGGCCGACACGUGGGAGCUGGCAAAGAACGUGCGUGGGGUGGGGGAGAGAAGCAGGGAAGGUGGGCUCCCAAGAAGCUGACCGAGGUGAACUGUACAGCGCUCCCCCCUCUACCCCAGGCUUUUCACUUCAGGUUCUGUUACCAAGUCUUAGGUGCACGUCAGCAGUGGGCUGCUCACCCUCACAGGCACGCGCGCAUUUCUGCGCACAGCCGCAGGCCGCAAAGAAGCCCAAGGCCAUCCCGAGUCCGCACACGUUCUCAGGCGGUGCACACACAUGUAGCAGGCCAGGUGCACAGAGCCCCUGCCUGCAAAUAUCUGCACAGUUGGGCGCGCGAGCACUGGCGCGCGCCCCUUGGGCCCGGCGCUGCUGGAACCAAGGGAAGUUGGGGCGAACUUGCACCUGCCUCGACGCUCUUCGGCAGAGCUCUGCGGAGCGCGGAGCCGCAGCGCCCCCUGGUGCUCAUCCCGCGCCUCGCUACCGAUGCUCCCUCUCCCGCUUUCUCUCUCCCUCUCCCCAGAUCCUUCUCCAGCUCUCCCUCUGGUCGAGUCUUUCUUCUCCCCGGUCCGCCGAGCCCAAGUCUCCCGCUGGGUCGUACCUGUAGCCGGAGAAGGUCGAGGAUGCAGUGGGGCGCGCUGCGCGCACGAGCAUCUCGGCCGCCUCAGCAGCCACCGGGUUUAGCAGGUUCCCGCAUGCUGCGGCCCCCGCGCGCUCCCCUGGCUGUCCCGCGCUGUCCGCAUCGCCCCCACGGGGGGCGGCUAUCCCAGCCGGAGGCUCUGCAGCAGGGCUCUACCAGGGCGGAGAAGAGACGGAGAGGCAGGGUCAGCCCACGGGUGGGGGGAGGAGAACAAGGGUAUAGACUGCAGUCUGCAAUGCUCACAGCCCCCUUGUGCGCACGGGGGCUCGACCGGAGAUGGGGAUCUGAGGUUCCAUGCUCGAAACGCCCCCUGUGCGGAUCCUAA
rnacentral:lncRNA from 1 species